CUUUAAUUCUAUAAACUGCGUGAGCAUUUUUUUCCUUCUGAAGCAUUAUCAUUGCAGAGCUGCACUAUUUAUCCGAAUGUUUUUAUCCUGAUUUCAAAAAACUCUAAAUCUGUUCUUGAAAAUGGAAAAUGUCACAUGCGGCUGUAGCUCAUGUCUCGUAUGGAAUCUGCAGACCUCCGUGACCCGUCGGCCAAGAACCCGGUGACCUGCUGCGAGGAACGUCUGACCCCAGAGGUCGCGGCGUACAGGUUGCUGAAGUCACCACAUGGGUGGAGCCAAGGCGGAGUCUGGGUGGAGUCAGGGCGGAGAAUAGGCG
ensembl:lncRNA